GACGAACGCUGGCGGCGUGCUUAACACAUGCAAGUCGAACGGAAAGGCCCCUUUGGGGGUACUCGAGUGGCGAACGGGUGAGUAACACGUGAGUAACCUGCCCUUGACUUCGGGAUAACUUCAGGAAACUGGGGCUAAUACCGGAUAGGAAUCCUUGCUGCAUGGUGGGGGUUGGAAAGCUUCGGCGGUUUUGGAUGGACUCGCGGCUUAUCAUCUUGUUGGUGGGGUAGUGGCUUACCAAGGCUUUGACGGGUAGCCGGCCUGAGAGGGCGACCGGCCACAUUGGGACUGAGAUACGGCCCAGACUCCUACGGGAGGCAGCAGUGGGGAAUAUUGCACAAUGGGCGGAAGCCUGAUGCAGCAACGCCGCGUGCGGGAUGACGGCCUUCGGGUUGUAAACCGCUUUCAGCAGGGGCGAAGCUUGUGGUGACGGUACCUGCAGAAGAAGCACCGGCUAACUACGUG
rnacentral:rRNA from 1 species